GAGGCGAGGGAGGAUUCCCCGGCCGGUGCCCGCCCCCGGGCUAAAGUGCGGCGCGGGUGGGGCUUGUCACGCGCCUGGCUUCCUACAGUGCGAACCUGGGAAAUCCAGGCGACUUCGCAGUUGCCGAAGGGAUCUGAAGAAGUGGGAUGUGCAAAAGCGCCGGCUGGAAAUCCCGGCUGUGUCUCCGUCAACUCUUUAGCAACAGAGGUCUCCCCCUGCCCUUGGUUUCUACCGGGCCGCCUGCUCCCACUCGGCGAAAAAAAAUACACAACAGCAGCCGCGGCGAUGGCGUGGAGGGCUGCCGCCUCCACGUGCGCGGCGCUCCUGAUUCUGCUGUGGGCGCUGACGACCGCAGGUGAUCUGAAAGUAGAGAUGAUGGCAGGGGGGACUCAGAUCACACCCCUGAAUGACAAUGUCACCAUAUUCUGCAAUAUCUUUUAUUCCCAACCCCUCAACAUCACAUCUAUGGGUAUCACCUGGUUUUGGAAGAGUCUGACGUUUGACAAAGAAGUCAAAAUCUUUGAAUUUUUUGGAGAUCACCAAGAGGCAUUCCGACGUGGAGCCAUUGUGUCUCCAUGGAGGCUGAAGAGUGGGGACGCCUCACUGCAGCUGCCUGGAAUCCAGCUGGAGGAAGCAGGAGAGUACCGAUGUGAGGUGGUGGUCACCCCUCUGAAGGCACAGGGAACAGUCCAGCUUGAAGUUGUGGCUUCCCCAGCCAGCAGAUUGUUUCUGGAUCAAGUGGGCGUGAAAGAGAAUGAAGGCAAAUAUAUGUGUGAGUCAAGUGGGUUCUACCCAGAGGCUAUUAAUAUAACAUGGGAGAAGCAGACCCAGAAGUUUCCCCAUCCCAUAGAGAUUUCUGAGGAUGUCAUCACUGGUCCCACCAUCAAGAAUAUGGAUGGGACAUUUAAUGUCACUAGCUGCUUGAAGCUGAACUCCUCUCAGGAAGACCCUGGGACUGUCUACCAGUGUGUGGUAUGGCAUGCGUCCUUGCAUACCCCCCUGAGGAGCAACUUUACCCUGACUGCUGCUCGGCACAGUCUUUCUGAAACUGAGAAGACAGAUAACUUUUCCAUUCAUUGGUGGCCUAUUUCAUUCAUUGGUGUUGGACUGGUUUUAUUAAUUGUUUUGAUUUCUUGGAAAAAGUGGAGUGCUUUCUUCUUUUGCUUAUUAAACUUUCACUUCAACUUCAUCUUUGGGGUCUGCGCUCCUUAAUUUUCUUGGUCGUGAGACAAAGAACUUCAGGUGAUACCUUGGGCAACGAGAGACUGCUACAUUGUGGUGCAUUGACAAGACUAACAUUUUGGUGCAUUGGCCAGGAAACAUUGGAAGGAUAUGUAACAAAUCAUCUUGAGCCUAUACUCCUCUCAAGUGCAUUCUGAAACACUGGAACUCCUUUGACACUCAGACUCUGAAGAAAGAGCACCUCAUAUUCUUUUGCACUCGGGCAUGGCCGUCUUACCAGCUGCAGGAUGGGGAGGCCUGGCCUCCUGAGGGAAGUGUUAAUAUUAAUACCAUUCAACAACUAGAUGUUUUCUGCAGACAGGAGGGCAAAUGGUCCGAGGUUCCUUAUGUGCAAGCCUUCUUUGCCUUGCGAGACAACCCAGAUCUUUGUCAGUGUUGUAGAAUUGACCCUGCUCUCCUAACAGUUACAUCAGGCAAGUCCAUAGAUGAUAAUUCUGCAAAGUCUGAGAAGCAAACCCCUAGGGAACACUCGGAUGCAGUUCCGGAUGCCCCAAUCCUUCUUGUCUCCCCUAUCUGGGAACCUCCUCCAGCCACAACAUCAACAACUCCAGUUCUAUCCUCCCAACCCCCAACUUUACUGUUACCCCUACAGUAAAUGCCUGAUGGAUGUGGUGCCACUAGGGUCCAAGUUCCCUUUUCAUUACAGGACCUUGGGCAAAUAAAAGGGGACCUGGGCAAGUUCUCUGAUGACCUGAUAGAUAUAUAGAGGCUUUCCAAAACCUAACUCAGGUGUUUGACCUUACUUGGGGUGAUGUUAUGUUGCUCUUAAACUCUUAACUACUACAGAAAAACAGGUAGCCCUGCAGGCAGCAGAAAAAUUCAGAGAUGAACAACCUGUCUUCUAUAGCCACUCAAUAAGGAAAGAAGGUGAGAAAGAACCAGCAUUCACAUACCCAAUAGGAAGCGAGGCAGUGCCCCUUGAACAACAUAAUUCGGACCCCAGUGGUACCUUAGAUGAGCGGCAAAGAAAACAUUUUCAAAUGUGCUUAUUAGAGGGCCUACAGAGGACCAGAGCCAAGCCUCUUUAUUACCCCAAACUCUCCACGAUAGAUCAAAAACUAGAUGAAAAUCCCUCAGCCUUUUUGGAAAGGCUGAGAGAGGCUGUAGUGAAACACACUUCCUUGUCUCCUGUGAGGUAUGUUUAUACCUCACAUAAAUAAUUCAAUUGAGGGACAGCUAAUUUUGAAAGACAAGUUUAUUACUCAGACAGCCCCUGAUAUCAGAAGGAAGCUAGAGAAACAGGCCAUGGGAUUAGAUAGCACCUUACAAAACCUCCUGAAGGUAGCCACCUCGGUCUUUUAUAAUAGGGACCAGGAGGAGGCCCAGGGGAAGGAGAGGAAACACAAGAAAAAGGCAGAGACUCUGGUGGCCACUUUGUAUAAAACCCAGUAUCCCCAAGGUGCACCUGCUAGUUGCUACCAAUGUGGCAAACUAGGGCACUUCAAAAGGGACUGCCCAGGCAGCAAGAAGAAGCCACCUCAACCCUGUCCAGUAUACAAUGGGGACCACUGGAAGGCAGACUGUCCUGGGAAGCAUAGGUCACUGAGUCCAGAGCCAGUCUCACAAAUGGUCCAGCAGGACUGAUGGGUCCUGGGGCUCAACUCCCUGGCUACAGUGGCUCAGACUGCUGUUACUACCCAGGAGCACCAGGUGAUUCUGGAGUUCGAAGGGAGGAAGGUAGACUUCUUUCUGGACACUGGAGCCAGGCUUCUGUUUUCCUCUCCAAUUCAGGCCUUCGUUCCUCCCAUAGCACAACCAUGAUGGGCAUCUCAGGGAAGACUUUAACCUGAUAUUUUUCUCAACCUAUUAGUUGCAGUCAGAGGGACCUACUGUUUACACAGGCCUUUUUAGUCAUGCCUGAAAAUCCCACUCCUUUAUUAGAUAGAGAUAUUCCAGCACGUAUGGGGGCCACCAUCCUUAUGGCUCCAGGACAAACUCCGCCUCUCCUUAGUGGAAACCAGCAUUAACCCAGAGGUUUGGGCAACUCAGGGAAGAAGUGGCCGGACUAUAACCACUAUACCAGUCUGGAUCCACCUCAAGGAUCCCACUUUUUUUCCUAACCAGAGACAAUACCCCCUGAAGCCAGAAAGUAGAAAAGGGCUAGAUGCCAGCAUUGAUAACCUAAAGGCACAAGGCCUCCUUUGGCCUUGCAGUAGCCCUUGAAACACCCCAAUAUUAGGGGUGCAAAAAUCCAAUGGGGAAGGGAGACUAGUUCAGGACCUCUGCCUUAUUCAUGAGGCUGUGAUUACGAUUCAUCCAGUAGAUCCCAGUCCCUAUACUUUGCUAACUCAAAUACCCAAGGGAACUAAAUGGUUCACAGUUCUGGGCCUAAAGGAUGCCUUUUUCUGUAUACCUUUAUACCGUGACUCCCAAUACUUGUUUACCUUUGAAGACCCCUCCAAUCAAACCACCCAGUUAACCUGGACUGUACUGCCUCAGGGAUUUAGAGAUAGCCCCCACCUAUUUGGGCAAGUAUUGUCAAGAGAUCUCUUCGAAUUCUUCCAUUCUCAGGUUAAAGUUUUACAAUAUGUAGAUGACAUUCUCCUCUGUGCCCCGACUGAGGAAGUUUCUUGAGACGGCACUGAGGCUCUCCUUAAUUUCCUAGCUGGAAAGGGAUAUAAGGCUUCAAAAUCUAAGGCUCAGCUCUAUCAGACUUUGGUAAAGUACCUAGAUCUGGUCUUGUCAGAAGGGAACAAGAGCACUAGGCGAGGAGAGGAUUAAUCCCAUUUCCUCCCUUCCUCUCCCCAGAACCCUCAAGCAGCUGAGGGAUGCUUGGGCAUUACAGGUUUUUGUAGGUUAUAGAUACCCAGGUAUGAUAAAAUAGGUUGCCCUUUAUAUCACCUUAUAAAAGAAAUUCAAGUGGCUAAAACUCACUUCCUGACCUGGGAACCUGAAGGUCAAAAGGCCAUUAAUCAGUUAAAACAAGCCUUGCUUAAAGCACCAGCCCCCAGUCUUUCUGUAGGGAAGUCCUUUAAAGUUUCUGUAUCAUAAAGGAAAGGAAUGGCCCUGGGAGUUUUAAUUCAAGUUCAAGGCCCAGCUCAACAGCCAGUAGGUUACUUAAGUAGAGAGCUUGACUUGGAGGCUAAAGGAUGGCCAGCUUGCCUCUGAGCAGUUACAGUAGUGGCCCUGCUAGUCCCAGAGGCCACCUAGUUAACCCUGGGGAAUAACCUGUUUAUGCCUCACAUAAAUAAUGUGGCAGGCUUGCUGUCCUCUAAAGCGAGUCUCUGGCUAACAGACAGCUGCCUCCUCAAGUAUCAGGCUUUGCUGCUAGAGGAAUCUGCAGUCCAGUUAAAAACCUGACCUUGCCUGAUCCCAGACACUUUCCUCCCAGAGGAAACUGGAGAAACUGAACAUAAUUGUGAACAGACUGUAGUACAACCUAUGCCGCUAGGGAGGAUCUCAAAGAAAUUCCCCUAGAAAAUCCAGACUGGACCCACUUUAUGGAUGGGAGCUCUUUUGUAGGACAGGGAGUCUGAAAAGUGGGAUAUGCAGUAGUCACCCUAAAUAACAUUGAAAAUGUGCCUCUCUCACCAGGCACACACACUCAAUCAGUUGAGCUGAUCCCUCUCACAAGAGCACUUGAACUAAGCAAAGGAAAGACAGCUAACAUUUAUACUGACUCCAAGUGUACCUUUCUAGUUCUCCUUGCCCAUGCUGCCAUCUGAAAGGAAAGGCACUUCCUCACCGCUAAUGGGUCUUGCAUUAAAUACCAUCAAGACAUCAACAGGCUAUUAUCCUCAGUGUUCCUCCCAUGAGAAUUAGUGGUCAGACAUUGCAGAGGGCAUCAGAAGCGGGUAGAUGAAAUAGCCAAAGGAAACAGGCUAGCAGACCAAAGAGCUAAGUCAGCAGUAAGAAGGCCCCAAGGUCCCAAUAAACUUGAGACCCCUCUGAUUUGGGAGGGCUACAUAAGGGAAAUAAAGCCUCAGUAUUCCCCUACAGAGAUAGAAUGGGCCACCUCUCGAGGUAUACUUUUCAACCCUCAGGAUGGUUACAAUCAGAAGAUUGCAAAGUAUGCUUGCCAGCCUCCAGCCAAUGGAAGAUUCUUAAAAUUCUCCACUGAGCCUUUCACUUAGGAAAGCAUAAGACAUCAGUGCAUCCAAAGAUUGUUCUCAGGAGAAAAUCUACUAAAAAUGGUCAAAUAGGUUGUUAAUACUCGUGAAACCCUCUUAAAAAUAAUCCCUUUAACAGAUGACUUCUUCCCCACCACACUCAAAGGAUGGGAAGUUACUCAGGGGAGGACUGGCAGAUAGACUUCACCCAUAUGCCCAAAAUAAAUGGCAUUCAAUGUCUUUUGGUGUGGGUGCAUACCUUCAUUAACUGGGUAGAGGCAUUCCCAUGCCCAACAGAAAAGGCCUCUGAGGUGGUGAGAAUACUAAUUAGUUAAAUAAUUCCUCACUUUGGGCUCCCUAAGUACUUCCAAAACAACAAUGGUCCCUCAUUUAAAGAAGCCUCUACCCAGUAGGGCAGAGUCUGCUAGGACUUUUUAUUGGGUUUGGUAAUACGUCACACCCUUUAGCCUCUACUGUAUCAGCCAUGUCCCAUUUAUACAAGACAAAUUGCUGGGUCUGUCCUGAGCGGUUUGCUCAGUUCAGUAACACUAAGGAACCUCUUGAUGACUUGGUAUUUACUGUCUUAGGAUUCCCUUUGUUAGCUUUACCUUUAGCCAUUAAAGACUUGUCAGGCAUAAAUGGAACAUGGUAUGGGAACACUUUCAACUGAGUAACUAACUCCUCCCAGGAAAGCAUUUCCUCCCUGGUGCCAGAAAAACUUUCCCCAAAGAUAAGCCUCACACCCUCAGGCUAGGAAAAGUUGGCCGGGUAAUAGCAAAUGCCUCCUCCUGUUUUAAAAGCAGAGGAAAAGGACCAUACCUGGGAGAUCUCAAGUAUUAUAACACCAUACUUGUAAUUGCUGAAAGCUCGGAAGUUUGGAGAAAAAGACAUAAGAAGGAUGAUCUAAGAAAAUUGGAAGCCAUAUGGAGGGGAGGCUUUCAGAAUUCAGCGUCUCCUCCUGGUUGGAAGGCCUGCUGGGAAUGGCAGGCUCUGGGUAACCACCCUGACACAUGGCACUAUAAUGUAAAAAACAACACAUAGGCCUUCCCAGACAUGCACCCUCAUGGGAUUCCAGACCCCCUGUAUGAUGCUUAGUAGUAGUGGCCUACAAAUCUGUGGAUGAACAGAACAGGAGACUUCUGGACUGACAGCCCCUGUCACAAGGGGGCAUUAUCUGAGAUAUUGGCCAGGACAUAUCGUGUCCCUGGUCUUUUGAAACUCCAUUUGUCGGCCAGGUGCAGUGGCUUACGCCUGUAAUCCCAGCACUUUGGGAGGCUGAGGCGGGUAGAUGAUGAGGUCAGGAGUUCAAGACUAGCCUGGACAAUAUGGUGAAACCCCGUCUGUACUAAUAAUACAAAAAAAAAAAAAGCCAGGCGUGGUGGUGCAUGCCUGUAGUCCCAGCUACUCGGGAGGCUGAGGCAGGAGAAUUGCAUGAACCCGGGAAGCAGAAGUUGCAGAAAGCCAAGAUUGUGCCACUGCACUCCAGCCUGGGUGACAGAGUAAGUCUCCAUCUCAAAAAACAAAACUCAAUUUAUCAGGUGGACCCUUCUCAUUUAGCAUGUAAAAUUCCAAAUGGCAUCGUGAGUGACUAUCCUGAGUAUAGAUAUCCCCAUCCCAAAGAUGUUCCUACUACAUGCAGGAGGGGGAAGCUUCUAAGAUAUGAGAAAGAUCAGCCUGUGUCUCUCACAAGCUACAACUUAGAACUGGCCCUUCAGGGGACAGGGCUUUAUUUCCUUUGUGGCUCCUGGCUACACUUAUUCCUCCCUAGGCACUGGAAGGGAACCUGCACUAUCGUGGCAGUGGUUCCUGACCUGUUAUCUUUAAAUUCCACUGAUACGGCAGCAUCAUCUGGGGACAUCCCUAGCCUAGCAUCUUUUCUAGUGAGUGUGCUAUCUCAGAUGCGCUGAACAAAGAGGUCUAUCAUUUCCAUGCCUUCAUAUGGAGACUUAACUGAAAGAGAAGAUUGGGUAGGACCUGCACAUGACAAUCCUAUCUCAGAAAAACCAUGGAUAGGGGAUUCUAUAGUCAGAGGCCUAUUCUGGUUUGCUGGUAUUCGUCUCCUUGAAAAAUCAGUACUUAAUAUUUCUAUUAUGAUGCCACAAGGGUAGAAGCUAACAGUAGGAGCCAUAGAAGCACAACAACAAUUCAUAAACUCUUUAGCCUCAGUAGUUAUGCAAAAUAGACAGGCCCUAGAUAUCCUUAUGGCCAAAGUAUGGGGUACCUGUGCACUUUUAAAAAGAAGCAUGUCACUUCUAGAUCAAUACCUCUAGUCAAGUAGAAGAGAAUGUACAGGUGCUUAAAGAUCAAAUUAGAACAUUGACAGAUUAAGAGAGAAUGUGGGCUCCAGUCCCAGUUGGCUACAAUCCCUCUUAAAUGGAUUCCAGUCUUCUUUGUGGAACUGGUUAGCUCCUUUAUUAGGCCCCCUUUUGCUCAUGUGUUUUGUACUAAUGUUUGGACUUUGUAUAUUCAAUACUGUAACUCAAAUUGUUUCCUCUCACUUAGAGGCUAUUAAACUCCAAACGGUGCUGCAGAUAGAACCACACAUAGACACGUCAUUCUUCUGGGGACCCUUAGACCAGUCUCAGGAGGAGCCCUAACUGCUGUAACCCCAACGACGCCCCCUUCCAGCAGGAAGCAGCCAGGAGUGGUCAUCGUCCACUUUCCCCAACAGCAGUUGGGGUCUCCACUCCUGAAGCAGGGAAUGAGAGAGGAGGAAGGAAGAAACCAGUCAGACAGGCAGUUAGGGUGGGUCCUCGGUAAAAUUCUUCCAAACAAAAGAACAGCUUGAAAAAUCAAACUGCAGGCACAGAGAAGAGAACUUGUACAGGGAAGCUUGCCUUAGACAUGUCCACAGCUGCCUAGGUAAGAAAGACUACACAGGAGACUUGCCCAGAGAUGCCCACAAUGGAAAAUUCCAUUCCCCGAGACAUGCACAGUAAGGGGAACAAAGCCAUAUGGAGUAACUCAAGCUAAGGGCCUGCGUGCACACUGGGAGGAUAGGGUAGAACUACCAGAAAUUCAUGCUUUAUGCAAAUGAGAUGCCCAGCACUCAUCAAUUUCUUACAAAAGCCUCUGUAUUCAACUGUGAAAUGGCGACACUCUUUUGGGCCCCCUCUUGGCAGUGGGGAGCUUUCUUUUUUCACUUUUUAAACUUUUGCUCCAACCUCACCUUUGGGGUCCAUGCUCCUUAAUUUUCUUGGUUAUGAGACAAAGAACUUCAGGUGAUACCUUGGGCAAUGAGAGACUGCUACAUUGUGGUGCAUUGGUGAGACUGUAAAACUAUCAGUUUAUUGCUGAUAACCCCAACAUCAGCAAUGAUGCUUAUGGAAAAAGAAAACAAAUCCUUUAUGAUCAGCUGGGUCCUUUAGUUGUUUGCAAAGAUGACUCCAAUCCUACACCCUUCCCUGCAUCCAUGUCCAUUGCUGUGUAACUUUGUAGUGCCUCCAACCGUGUGACCUCUUUCAGCCAACUUAAGAAGACAGCAGUGAAGGCGUGCCAGUUCCAAGUGUAAGCCCCAAGAGGCCUUGUGUGUCUUCAUUUGCUUCCUCGUGUGCUUCUAAUGGUGCUGGGAGAAGAACAGGUCCAGACUAGCCUGCUGGAGGAUGAGAGAUGCUGGCUACCACAUCCUUGUUGCUCCAGUGGAGGCCAGGCUAGAUUAGAUGACAGCCACCUGACUCCAUGUGAGCAAAUCUGCGAUCAGCAGAGCUGGCAGAGCCAACUCUCAAAUACUUGGAAAAUACUUUUAAUAUGUAAAACAUUUUAAAUAUUACAUUAAUAUUUAAAAUGUUUUUUAAAGCCACUGUUUUAUACUGGCUUUGUUACACAGCAUAAGCUAAGUGCUACAACUCCUCAGGAAGCUGAGCUUUGACCAAAAGAGGUGUGUUAGCCACAGAGAUGUGUCUGAGACCCCCUUCGAGAGAGAGCCUGUGUGAGGAGUGCAGUCAGCUGAUGGGCUCCAGCUACAGAUCUCAGGGAUCUGCUUCAGUAUUCCAGCUGGUGCCAUGCUCUCCCCAGACUGCUUCUGCCACUGACUGAGCAAGGCAGGAGCUCCGUGUUGGGAGCUGAUGCUGGAAUACUGAACUAUAUCCUGAGAUCUCCAGCUGCUGAUCUCGGGGAUCUGGGGUGGCCAAGACUUUCUCAGAGUGUAUAUUAGGUGCUAGAAUAACAUCAUUUUAUUUGAUGUCAUUUUGUUAUCACAUUGAUGAAAAAAAAUUCAGUUCCCAACCUGAGCCACUGUCUGUGUGGAGUUUGCAUGUUCUGCAUGGGUUUUCAUCAGGUACUCUGGUUUCCUCCCACAUCGCAAAAAUGAGCACUUUCAGUAAAUUGGGGUGUCUAGAUGGUGCCACAGUGAAUGAGGGUGUGGGUGUGAGCAUGCCCUACAGCCAGAUACCAUCCUCUCCAGGGUUGAUGCCCACUUAGUGCUCUGAGCCACUGGGAUAGGCUCUGGCCACCCACAACUCUGAACUGGAAUCAUUGGGUGAGUAAUUAUUAUUUGUUUUUAGUAAUUUUUUUUGAGACAAAGUCUCACUCUGUCACCCAGGCCAGAGUGCAGUGGCACAAUCUUGGCUUACUGCAACCUCCACCUCCUGGGCUCAAGCGAUACUCCCACCUCAGUUUCCUGAGUAGCUGGGACUACAGGCGCAUGUCACCAUGCCUGUCUAAUUUUUUUUUUUUUUUUUUUUUGUUGCAAUAAGGUCUUGCUAUGUUGUCCAGGCUGGUCUCAAACUCCUGAGCUCAAGCUAUCCUCCUGCCUUGGGCUCCCAAAGUGCUAGGAUUACAGGCAUGAGCCACCGUGCCUGGCCUAGUAUUGGUCAUUAGUAAUCAUUCCUAAAUGUAUAUGUAAACAUUUAUUUCAGUGUUAAAUAUUGAAGUGUUUGGUCUUUAUUUAGAAGUUUGAUGUUGUGUUUUAUGACCAGAAAUAUGCUGUGAACUUAAUUCUUUCUUACAGCAGUUAGCCUAUGGGAAAAUUGGUUUUGUUCUACAUUAUUUAAUUUUAAAGUCAUAAUUUCCAAGAUCCUCUCAACUCCAUUAAGUGAGGACUUACUGUACUGUAGCCUGAGGCUCAUCUUAGUCUUCCCACAUCCCCCCUGCCUUUCCUUCACAGUCAGCCUGCACUGUGGUCUGAGGCCUUCCCCCCUACAGCCUCUCCCCUUUAUCUUUCACGGUAAUCACCCCUCAUUACUCACUUGUACUUCUAACUCCAUCUUGAAAGCUGCUUCCUGGAAGAUCCAAACGGACACAAGGAGGGACUGAAGGAUUAGAAUGAGGGAAGUAACCCAUUCACUGCUUAUUUGAGAUGGGGAACUGAAGGACUUUGGCAAUUCCUACACAGAGACAGAUGGCAGAGAUGACAAGGUUUCUCAGAGAAUGCGUGAGUAACUAGAAUGGCUUUUCCUGAUGACCCAGACAGCCUGCUCAAGAGCACACUGUUGCAGCUGCCCUCCUUGGAUAGAACUAUGGAAUGAUUUUUAUUCUUCUACUUCCCAGGUGAAUGGGAAACCAAGGACACAGUCAGCAUUUAACAAAAAGGAAUCUGCAUCUCAGUCAGAACUGUAUUGCAUUUGCUUCUCUCUGGAUUACCUUGAAGUUACUCCCCUUCCCUCAAUAAUAAUGGCAUUAUGAAAAAAAUUGGAAUUGAUCAAAUGAAGUAAAGAGUAAACAGAGGAAAGACUACCCAAAGUCUAUUUUGCUUCAGUUCGGGGCUGAUGAUCUGGGGAGGAGGAGGUUGGGACAUAUUUGUGCUGCAAGGAACAAUAUCAUUUCAUGCAGGGGAGGUGCAUGACUAACAAAAGGGUUAACUGGAUCCUAUAAGCUAUAGACAGCUUCUAGGCAGUGCCAACCUGUGCUGCAUACCUGAACAUUGUUGCUUCCCCCACUGAAGGUAAUAAGCUGUGGAGCUGCACAGGCAUUUUGUAUUACUUGUUUCACUCAUUGGCCUUGGUGCCUGCCAGAAAUUGAGGUCGGGGGAAAGGCAGAAGUUCACACUCCUGGACCCAGUUUGGCCAGUCCAGGCAGCCUGCUCUUCACAUCACUCCAGAGUUAGACCUGCCCAGAGUGGAACUAGAAUAGGGUGUGAGUAGCACCUGCUUCCCCUCCCACAGAUCAGUGCCCUAGACGGGUAGCUCUGGCAGAGAGGCUGCCAAUAACCCAGAAUCCAGCACAACAAAAGGCACUUCUGGCCCAGCUCUGACUAACCCCACUGUUCUUCCUUUCCCUAGCUUCUUUCAAGCUGGAAUCAAUCUGUUGUUCUUCGGACCUGAGGUCAACAUGACUUUGAUGAACGGAAUUCAUGUCUUCUUUCUAAAGUUAUCUGGACACUUGGUACAACACAGAGUGUCUGAUAUCUGGGCCUGGGGAGACCUCAGAGGCCCUGGGGAGCCCAGAGACUUGUGGAGUGUCAGGGCAGCUCUCCUGCUGUGAAUGCAAGCUCCCUGGGAAAGUUCUCCCUAGAAAAAGAUGUGGGGGAGGAGCUCAGGUGAAAGACAGAGCCUCCUGCCCGUGGAGAGAAAGUGGGCCCUGGAGAAGCUGCGUGAGUCCUCUCCAGCAGAAGGGCCAGAGGUGCACAUUAGUGGGGCUCGGGUGGGUCUCAUGGUGACAUUGGCUGGAGAUGCCAAAUCCACAGGUGUUAGGCCUGGGCAGGUUCUAGUGUGUGAGUGGGCUAGUUUUUCUAGACUAGCACACAGGAAGAGGGUGGCCUGGCUUGCCUUCCCUCUGAAGCUCAGGACUGAGGCCCAGGACAUGUCUCACACCAUUGAUAUGAGUUGGGGACAGAUGGGCGGCAGAUGUGCCCGAUCAGGCUGCGUUGACACCUGACUGGCUGGAAGAAGAGCCUGGAAAGCAAAGAGCCCAGUCUUCCUGUAAGAAGGAAGAAGAUGGAGGGCUCAUCAUGCACGUGGGCCAGAAAAAGUGCCAGUGAGGUUGUUCUGACUCCAUAGGUGUUCUGGACAUAAUCUAGGCUGUCACAAAACAGCCAAGCCUGCUGCCAGUUUCCAAUCUGGGAUCUCAGGGAGGCCCAGGGGCUUGCUGAGUUCCACCUUCCCUCUUUCCCUUGGUUUGGAGACAACUUUCUCCCUGUGGUGAAUGUGACACUUAGAAGAACAAGGUGCAGCCCUACUAAAAGCUGGAGCUUAGGUCACUGGGACUGUGUGCUAGGGGAAAGGGGGAGGGAAGAGCAGGGCUGUGGCAUUAGACAGACUUUGGCUGAAAUCUUGGACCUGCCUCCUACUAGCUGUGAGAUCUUAGCAAAUUACUUCCUGCUAUAGGCUAAAUGUCUGUGUCCUCCUAAAAUGCACGUGUUAAAUCCUAAUGCCCAAGGUGAUGGUAUUUGGAAGUGGGGCCUUUGGGAGGUGAUGAGGGUGGAAUCCUCAUGAAUGGGAUUAGUACCCUUAUGUAACAAGGCCCCAGAGAGCUCCCUCACACCUUCCACCAUGUAAGAUUACAGGGGAAAGACAGGCCCUUCAGCAGACACUGAAUCCACUGGCACCUUGAUCUUGGACUUCCCAGCCUCCAGACUGUGAGUAAUAAAUGUCUAUUGUUUAUAAGCCA